UCUGCUAUCUAAUUAAUUUGUUUAAAUAAAUAAUUAAUCACCAAAUUACCUAUACAAUUGGAGUAAAUAAAUCAUGUAUUACCCAGAUUAAAUAAAAGAUAAAGUGCACGUAUUCUCUAGUUGUAGUUAUGCUAGAACUCUAUAAGCAUAUGAAGAAGACUUAUGCAGUGGAUACAAGUACCCUAAUAGGAUAUGGCUCCUCUUUAGUAAUUAUUUUUUCUA
rnacentral:lncRNA from 1 species